AGCUGCGGUCAUACGUACUGGAAAGCACCGGAUCCCGUCCGAUCUCCGAAGUUAAACCUGUAACGGCACGGUCAGUACUGUGGUGGGAGACCAC
rfam:Amphiamblys sp. WSBS2006 Amphi_2351, whole genome shotgun sequence.